ensembl:snRNA U4 U4 spliceosomal RNA
AGCUUUGCACAGUGGCAGUAUCGUAGCCAAUGAGGUUUAUCCAAGGCAUGAUCAUUGCUAACUGAAAACUUUUCCCAAAAUACUUGAAGAAUACAGCAGUACAUCUCAUGUCUUCUUGGGUUCACAAUUUACGGCACUUCACCAUUUUA